rnacentral:rRNA from 1 species
CCUACGGGUGGCUGCAGUGGGGAAUAUUGCACAAUGGGGGAAACCCUGAUGCAGCGACGCCGCGUGGGUGAAGGAGCGUUUCGGUGCGUAAAGCUCUAUCAGCAGGGAAGAAGGAGGACGGUACCUGACUAAGAAGCCCCGGCUAACUACGUGCCAGCAGCCGCGGUAAUACGUAGGGGGCAAGCGUUAUCCGGAUUUACUGGGUGUAAAGGGGGCGUAGACGGCUGCGCAAGCCUGGAGUGAAAGCCCAGGGCCCAACCCCGGGACUGCUUUGGAAACUGGGGGGCUGGAGUGCAGGAGGGGCAAGCGGAAGUCAUGGUGUAGCGGUGAAAUGCGUAGAUAUCAGGAGGAACACCGGUGGCGAAGGCGGCCUGCUGGACAGCGACUGACGUUGAGGCCCGAAAGCGUGGGGAGCAAACAGGAUUAGAUACCCGUGUAGUC